UCUGCUCUCGGCUUCUCUGCUCGUGUCAUCCGCCCAGACGGCGCACACCUGUGCGUCUCUUCCGCUCCUGUGGUUGGGUGAACACAGAACGGCGUCAUUUUGAACACGGCUGCACGUUCAAGGGGAGAGUUCAUGGUUUUACUUGUGCCACCAUCAACCAGAUCGUCAACAGGGAGUUUUUCCACCGUCCUGCAAUGGGGAACAACGUGUCGGGGAUAUCGGCGCUGCAGAGAUCCCAGCAGCAGGGCUUUCACAGACUCCGGAACUCCCAGAAAGGGCCUUGAAGAUCUAAACGCAACAUAAAACUCCAGACCAGCACAGAUUGUGUUCUGCUGGCAAACGUGACAGGAACCAAUGAGAGCCAAGAAGGAUUCACUGUACCCACAGGCUGGGCUUCAUAAACCACUUAGGCUGCAGAGCCGCUGAUUGAUGGCGACAAAAAUCCAUGCAAACGGAUUCAUUUGUUUUCCCACGCAACAGCUGCCCCAGAUAAAUCUAAUGUAACGAACAAUAAACACCCAUCAUGAACGGAAUUGCAGUU